rnacentral:rRNA from 1 species
CCUACGGGUGGCAGCAGUGGGGAAUAUUGCGCAAUGGGCGAAAGCCUGACGCAGCGACGCCGCGUGAGGGAUGAAGGUAUUCGGAUCGUAAACCUCUGUCAGCAGGGAAGAACGGUCACUGUGCUAAUCAGCAGUGAAUUGACGGUACCUGCAAAGGAAGCACCGGCUAACUCCGUGCCAGCAGCCGCGGGAAUACGAAGGGUGCGAGCGUUAAUCGGAAUUACUGGGGGUAAAGCGGUCGUAGGCGGGAUGUCAAGUCAAGGGUGAAAUCCCCGCGCUCAACGUGGGAACUGCCGUUGAAACUGGCAAACUGGAGUGUGUGAGAGGAUAGUGGAAUUCCAGGUGUAGGGGUGAAAUGCGUAGAUAUCUGGAGGAACAUCAGUUGCGAAGGCGACUAUCUGGCACAUAACUGACGCUGAGGAGCGAAAGCGUGGGUAGCAAACAGGAUUAGAUACCCUUGUAGUC